rnacentral:rRNA from 1 species
GACGAACGCUGGCGGCGUGCCUAACACAUGCAAGUCGAACGGAACUUUUUCAAAAGAUUCUUUCGGGAUGAUUUUGAUUAAGUUUAGUGGCGGACGGGUGAGUAACGCGUGAGUAACCUGCCUUUGAGAGGGGAAUAACAAUCUGGAAACGGACGCUAAUACCGCAUAACAUAUUGUUUUCGCAUGGAGAUGAUAUCAAAGGAGCAAUCCGCUUUAAGAUGGACUCGCGUCCAAUUAGCUAGUUGGUGAGGUAACGGCCCACCAAGGCGACGAUUGGUAGCCGGACUGAGAGGUUGAACGGCCACAUUGGGACUGAGACACGGCCCAG